rnacentral:rRNA from 1 species
GACAGAGGAUGCAAGCGUUAUCCGGAAUGAUUGGGCGUAAAGCGUCUGUAGGUGGCUUUUCAAGUCCGCCGUCAAAUCCCAGGGCUCAACCCUGGACAGGCGGUGGAAACCUACCAAAGCUGGAGUACGGGUAGGGGCAGGAGGGAAUUUCCGGUGGAGCGGUGAAAUGCAUUGAGAUCGGAAGAACACCAACGGCGAAAGCACUCUGCUGGCCGACACUGGACACUGAGAGCGAGCUAGGG